rnacentral:rRNA from 1 species
UAUUAUACUUUAUUGGAAGUUAGUAGUGCUUGAGUAGUAAUCAGUUAUGUUCUUGAAAUUUAAAGGAUUUGGCGGUAUUUUAGUCUAGUUAGGGGAACCUGUUUUGUAAACGAUAAACCACGAAGAAUCUUACCUUUUUUAGUAUAGUCAGUAUGUAUACCGUCAUUAUUAGAUAGUUUUUAUAAAAAGUUAUUGAGAUAAGGAAAUUCUUAAAAUAUUAGAUCAAGGUGCAGCCGAUAGGGAGGAAAGUAAUGGGUUACAAUGUUAUUAAAAUAAACGGAUAAUAUAGUUGAAUGCUGUGUGGAAGGUGGACUUAAAUGUAAUUGUAUUUUAAUAAGAGACAAUGAUGUUAGCUCUAGAAUAU